AUUGAACGCUGGCGGCAGGCCUAACACAUGCAAGUCGAGCGGAUGAAGGGAGCUUGCUCCUGGAUUCAGCGGCGGACGGGUGAGUAAUGCCUAGGAAACUGCCUGGUAGUGGGGGAUAACGUCCGGAAAAGGGCGCUAAUACCGCAUACGUCCUGAGGGCGACAGUGGGGGAUCUUCGGACCUUACGCUAUCAGAUGAGCCUAGGUCGGAUUGGCUAGUUGGUGGGGUAAAGACCUACACAGGCGCCGAUCCGUAACUGGUCGGAGAGGAUGAUCAGUCACACGGGAGCUGAGACACGGACCAGACGCCUACGAGAGGCAGCAGUGUGGUAUGGGAGGCAGUGGUGGAGAGCCUUGUCCAGUCGGGCCGAGUCUGAUGAAGAGGUCUUCGGAGUGGAAAGCAGGUUAUGUUGGGAUAAAGGGCAGUAAGUUAAGAACAAGCGGUAGUGACGGUACCAACAGAAGAAGCACCGGCUAACUACGUG
rnacentral:rRNA from 1 species